UACGUAGGGGGCAAGCGUUGUCCGGAAUCAUUGGGCGUAAAGAGCGCGUAGGCGGCCCAGUAAGUCCGCUCUGAAAGUCAGGGGCUCAACCCCUGAAUGCGGGUGGAUACUGCUGGGCUAGAGUCCGGAAGAGGCGAGUGGAAUUCCUGGUGUAGCGGUGAAAUGCGCAGAUAUCAGGAGGAACACCGGUGGCGAAGGCGAGUCUCUGGAUAUUUCCUGACGCUGAGGCACGAAAGCCAGGGGAGCAAACGGG
rnacentral:rRNA from 1 species